UACGUAGGGUGCAAGCGUUGUCCGGAAUUAUUGGGCGUAAAGAGCUCGUAGGCGGUCUGUCACGUCGGCUGUGAAAUCCCGAGGCUCAACCUCGGGUCUGCAGUCGAUACGGGCAAACUAGAGUAUUGCAGGGGAGACUGGAAUUCCUGGUGUAGCGGUGAAAUGCGCAGAUAUCAGGAGGAACACCGGCGGCGAAGGCGGGUCUCUGGGCCAUAACUGACGCUGAGGAGCGAAAAGCCAGGGGGAGCAAAACGGGG
rnacentral:rRNA from 1 species